rnacentral:rRNA from 1 species
CCUACUGGGGACAUCAUUGAGGCAUCUUGGUCAAUGGCCGGAAGGCUGAACCAGCCAUGUCGCGUGAAGUUCCUUUCCCUCUUUUCUUUCCCCUUCUUUUUUUCUUUCUCCCUAAUGGUCACGUGUGGCCAGACGAGAGUACCGUACGAAUAAGCAUCGGCUAACUCCGUGCCAGCAUCCGCUGUAAUACGGGGGAUGCAAGCGUUAUCCGGAUUUAUUGGGUUUAAAGGGUGCGUAGGCUGUGAGGUAAGUCAGCGGUGAAAUGCCCCCGCUCAACGGGGUGAAGUGCCAUUGAUACUGCCUUGCUGGAAUGCGGAUGCCGUGGGAGGAAUGUGUGGUGUAGCGGUGAAAUGCAUAGAGAUCACACAGAACACCGAUUGCGAAGGCAUCUCACGAAUCCGCGAUUGACGCUGAUGCACGAAAGCGUGGGUAUCAAACAGGAUUAGAGAAAAGGGUAGUC